UUUUUCAUUUGCAGCGCGUUGAGCUCUCUCGGCCACCGUAGGAUUGCCAGUUCAGCUGUUGUUGACUGGGCCACCACACAAGUACUGAGCCAUGAGAGAUUCUACAGCUUCUGCUGAUGGAGAACAGACAAAGUCACAACACCUGCUAUCAAAAAUGACACACACACACACAUGCAUGCACAAACAGACAAAGAUUGGCAUUCUUUCUCCAUCCAGCUGCCGGGACAUUGCCACCUCUUAGAUUUUCCUCAUUGUUGUAAACACAUUAAUUAAAGACAUUAAUUGAUUAGGAAAUAAAGCGGCC
rnacentral:lncRNA from 1 species